rnacentral:rRNA from 1 species
CCUACGGGAGGCAGCAGUGAGGAAUAUUGGUCAAUGGACGAGAGUCUGAACCAGCCAAGUAGCGUGAAGGAUGACUGCCCUAUGGGUUGUAAACGUCUUUUAUAAAGGAAUAAAACGAGGCACGUGUGCCUUUUUGCAUGUACUUUAUGAAUAAGGAUCGGCUAACUCCGUGCCAGCAGCCGCGGUAAUACGGAGGAUCCGAGCGUUAUCCGGAUUUAGUGGGUUUAAAGGGAGCGUAGAUGGGUUGUUAAGUCAGUUGUGAAAGUUUGCGGCUCAACCGUAAAAUUGCAAGUGAUACUGGCAGUCUUGAGUACAGUUGAGGUAGGCGGAAUUCGUGGUGUAGCGGUGAAAUGCUUAGAUAUCACGAAGAACCCCGAUUGCGAAGGCAGCUUACUAAACUGUGACUGACAUUGAUGCUCGAAAGUGUGGGUAUCAAACAGGAUUAGAUACCCUAGUAGUC